UGCGGAACACGUGUGCACUGCCUUUAUCUGGGGGAUAGCCUUUCGAAAGGAAGAUUAAUACCCCAUAAUAUGUUGAAUGGCAUCAUUCGACAUUGAAAACUCCGGUGGAUAGAGAUGGGCACGCGCAAGAUUAGAUAGUUGGUGAGGUAACGGCUCACCAAGUCUACGAUCUUUAGGGGGCCUGAGAGGGUGAUCCCCCACACUGGUACUGAGACACGGACCAGACUCCUACGGGAGGCAGCAGUGAGGAAUAUUGGACAAUGGGUGAGAGCCUGAUCCAGCCAUCCCGCGUGAAGGACGACUGCCCUAUGGGUUGUAAACUUCUUUUGUAUAGGGAUAAACCUACCCUCGUGAGGGUAAGCUGAAGGUACUAUACGGAAUAAAGCACCGGUUAAUCCGUGCCAGCAGCGACGGUAAUACGGAGGGUGCCAACGGCGGUUAAUCCGGAAUCACACUAGGGGGUUUAACAAGGGUCCGGCAGGCGGGCUUCUGGUCAAAGUCCAAACUGGGUAGAAAAUUCCCUUCCCAAACAGCGCUUACAACCUUGGGGGGAANAAAUCUGGCCCACUCUGGGAAACACCUCGGGAAAGGGAGUCACUA
rnacentral:rRNA from 1 species